rnacentral:rRNA from 1 species
GACGAACGCUGGCGGCGUGCUUAACACAUGCAAGUCGAACGGAAAGGCCCUGCUUUUGUGGGGUGCUCGAGUGGCGAACGGGGGAGUAACACGUGGGUAACCUGCCCUUGACUUUGGGAUAACUUCAGGAAACUGGGGGUAAUAACGGAUAGGAUUUCCCGCUUGAGGGUGGGGGUGGGAAAGUUUCGGCGGUUGGGGAUGGACUUGCGGCGUAUCAGCUUGUUGGUGGGGUAGUGGAUGACCAAGGCUUUGAAGGGUAGCCGGCCUGGGAGGGUGACCGGCCACAUUGGGACUGAGAUACGGCCCAGACUCCUACGGGAGGCAGCAGUGGGGAAUAUUGCACAGUGGACGGGAGCCUGAUGCGGCAACGCCGCGUGCGGGAUGACGGCCUUCGGGUUGUAAACCGCUUUCGCCUGAGACGAAGCGUGAGUGACGGUAAUGGGUAAAGAAGCACCGGCUAACUACGUG